rnacentral:rRNA from 1 species
ACUCCUACGGGAGGCAGCAGUGGGGAAUAUUGCACAAUGGGGGAAACCCUGAUGCAGCCAUGCCGCGUGUGUGAAGAAGGCCUUCGGGUUGUAAAGCACUUCAGUAGGGAGGAAGGUAGUGUAGUUAACACCUGCAUUAUUUGACGUUACCUACAGAAGAAGCACCGGCUAACUCCGUGCCAGCAGCCGCGGUAAUACGGAGGGUGCGAGCGUUAAUCGGAAUUACUGGGCGUAAAGCGCAUGCAGGCGGCCUGUUAAGUCAGAUGUGAAAGCCCGGGGCUUAACCUCGGAAUUGCAUUUGAAACUGGCAGGCUAGAGUCUUGUAGAGGGGGGUAGAAUUUCAGGUGUAGCGGUGAAAUGCGUAGAGAUCUGAAGGAAUACCAGUGGCGAAGGCGGCCCCCUGGACAAAGACUGACGCUCAGAUGCGAAAGCGUGGGGGAGCAAACAGGAUUAGGAUACCCUGGUAGGAUAGCG